CUCGCCGUGGCCUAGUGGCUAGCGCUCUGGAUUUUGAAUUUUGAGGUCAUGGGUUCGAACCCCACUGGGGUCA